GCCAGGUGCGGUGGCGCGUGCCGGUAGUCCCAGCUACUUGGGAGGCUGAGGUGGGAGGAUGGCUUGAGCCCAGGAGUUCUGGGCUGUAUUGCGCUAUGCCAAGUGGGUGUCUGCACUAAGUUCGGCAUCAAUAUGGUUACCUCCCGGGAGCAGGGGACCACCAGGUUGCCUAAGGAGGGGUGAACCAGUCCAGGUUGGAAACAGAGUAGGUCAAAACUCCUGUGCUGAUCAGUAGUGGGAUUGCACCUGUGAAUAGUCACUGCACUCCAGCCUGGACAACAUAGCAAAACCCUGUCUCU
rnacentral:SRP_RNA from 1 species